GAUGAACGCUGGCGACGUGGAUAAGGCAUGCAAGUCAAACGGCUCUUCGGAGCAGUGGCAAACGAGGUAGUAACACGUAGGAAUUCACCUAGAAGUCAGGAAUAACUUAUCGAAAGGUAAGCUAAUACUUGAUAGUCCCUCCGGGGUAAAGAUUUAUCGCUUCUAGAGAAUCCUGCGGAGUAUCAGCUUGUUGGUAGGGUAAAAGCCUACCAAGGCAAUGACGCUUAGGGGAGGUGAGAGCCUGACCCCCACCGAUGGAACUGAGACACGGUCCAUACACCUACGGGUGGCCGCAGUCGAGAAUCUUCCGCAAUGGACGAAAGUCUGACGGAGCGACGUCGCGUGAUCGAUGAAGUCCUUAGGGAUGUAAAGAUCUUUUAUGAGGGAGGAAGUUUAUUGACGUUACCUCAUGAAUAAGGGGUUGCUAAACUCG
rnacentral:rRNA from 1 species